GAAAAUUCUGCGUGCUGAACAGCUCGCUGUGGCAAAAGAUUUCUCGAAAAAGAUGGGGGCUACUUUUUUCCUGGCUUCUGGGAUCUCGAGUAGGAUGGGUGGUUAGAAGAGCAGUUGACACAACAGUCUGGCCCUUUGCAUUCUUUUGUUUCGUGGUCGGCCUUCCCACACCGUGCGCAACAGGCGGAGCCACGGCAUGAGUCGGCAGCAUGACCGAAUCUGUUACAACGGAAGCAGCGCAAGGGA